AUACGGAGGAUGCGAGCGUUAUCCGGAUUUAUUGGGUUUAAAGGGUGCGCAGGCGGGAUUAUAAGUCAGCUGUGAAAGUUUACGGCUCAACCGUGAAAUUGCAGUUGAUACUGUAUGUCUUGAGUGUACAAGAGGUGGGCGGAAUUCGUGGUGUAGCGGUGAAAUGCUUAGAUAUCACGAAGAACUCCAAUUGCGAAGGCAGCUCACUGGGGUACAACUGACACUGAGGCUCGAAAGUGUGGGUAUCAAACAGGAUUAGAUACCCUGGUAGUCCACACAGUAAACGAUGAAUACUCGCUGUUUGCGAUAUACAGUAAGCGGCCAAGCGAAAGCAUUAAGUAUUCCACCUGGGGAGUACGCCGGCAACGGUGAA
rnacentral:rRNA from 1 species